rnacentral:pre_miRNA from 1 species
GCCUUAAAGUCCUCUAGCAGCACAUCAUGGUUUGCAUGAUCCAAGCAAGAUGCGAAUCAUUAUUUGCUGCUUUAGAAAUUUAAGGA